rnacentral:rRNA from 1 species
UUGACCUCGAAUCAGGUAGGACUACCGUGAACUUAAGCAUAUUGCGGAGGGAUCAUUACCGAGUUUUCAACUCCCUAACCCUUAUGUGAACCUACCUAUUGUUGCUUGGCGGACUCGCUAAAACGUUACGAA